UAGGGAAUCUUCGGCAAUGGGGGGAACCCUGACCGAGCAACGCCGCGUGAGUGAAGAAGGUUUUCGGAUCGUAAAGCUCUGUUGUAAGAGAAGAACGUGUGUGAGAGUGGAAAGUUCACACAGUGACGGUAACUUACCAGAAAGGGACGGCUAACUACGUGCCAGCAGCCGCGGUAAUACGUAGGUCCCGAGCGUUGUCCGGAUUUAUUGGGCGUAAAGCGAGCGCAGGCGGUUUGAUAAGUCUGAAGUAAAAGGCUGUGGCUUAACCAUAGUAUGCUUUGGAAACUGUCAAACUUGAGUGCAGAAGGGGAGAGUGGAAUUCCAUGUGUAGCGGUGAAAUGCGUAGAUAUAUGGAGGAACACCGGUGGCGAAAGCGGCUCUCUGGUCUGUAACUGACGCUGAGGCUCGAAAGCGUGGGGAGCAAACA
rnacentral:rRNA from 2 species